GGGCUCUACCCGAUCCAGGCGCCUAAUUAUUAGCAGCGAAAAUAAAGAAUGCUUGUAAAGGUGAUGAUUUACGGGAAAGGGGAAAAAGACUUGAAAUCCUAUUGCUAAGAGGUGUAACAAGACCACCUUGUCAACGUUAAUAAAUUUAGACUCCUUUUCUUUUGCAGAAAGUCACUUGUUUAUCAAAUUUUUUCCAAGGAAAUCAUCGUAUAUGAAAUUGAGUAUUUUUUGGUUCUUGGUUACAAUCCUGAAAAUUAAGCUCUAUUUGUUUCAUGGGAAAUAUUUUUUAAGAAAACAUUUUGCUCAUUUUUAGACAUUUGAGUCACUUAGGAAAUUUGAUCAACAAAAAAAUUUGCCCAAGUCAUAAGAAAACUGAAGCUAAUUUCCAAAAUUUGGCAAACCAUUUCUUAUGUAAUUUGUCUCAUAGUUAAGAAAUAGAAAAAAUAAGAAGUUACUAAAGAUUCAAACAUAGCCAUAACUAUAUAUAUAUAUAUUCGUAGAAAAUGUUUUCACAAACCAUGUUAUUUUCCCUAAAACAAUCAGAGUGAUAGUUCAAAAUUGUUUCCUAGAUUCUAACAUUUGGAGUUCACUGAGAAAUAUUAAUUUUCUUUCAACAUACAAGACUUGAAAAUGUGUGGACCUACUAGAACUUCAUAUUUUCCUGUUUACAGUUGGAUAUGAAAGAAAAUUACUCACAAAAGAUAAUUUGUGAUUGUCACCAGCAGACAACUGUGGUUGAUAGACUAAUGGGUACAUUUCUAUAUUGUUCCUUUGUAGGUUCUUCCAUUUUUAUGAAUUUGUGAAAGUCCAGAAAAUUAUUUCAUUUUCUGAAAUUGGGAAGUCAAAAUUCUUGAAAAUGACUUGACCAAUUUUCUCAUGUGUUAUAAAUAUCAGAAAAUGCAAAAAAUAUAUUUUGUGAAACAGAAUCUUAUGAUCUGAUUUAACUGCUAAAGCUCUUUAGACAUCAUAGUAUGGCAAAAAUUUUUAGACACAGAAGGUUAGGUAGGAAGAUUAGAUUUGAGUGAUUAAAACCAGUAGAUAGCAGAGGAUUCGAUGCUGCUGUGAAAGCUGUAUUAACCACUAUGUAAGCUUCCUGUACUAGUAAAACCACAUACAAAUUGGGUGUGCAUAAGGUUAACACAACAGAAAUAUGGGGAAUUUCCCCCAUUGGAUUGAGAGUUGGGGAAGUAAACAUUGAGAAAGAUAGGAUUCUCAAACUUCUACCAUAAUGGGAGUCUCCCUCUCAAAUGGACGGUGGACCUCAUAAUGAUUUAGUUGAUUCAUGCUAUGAAUCAAUCCAUAAGCAGGAGUGUAGAACCAUGCACACUCAUAACAAGCUAAUUUUCAUUUGUCUCCACAGCAUCUUCAUGAUAGGCUACAGUACUAGUCACUAGAUUGCAUAAUCCAGGGCCAGACAUGUUAGUUGGUUUUGCAGCAGUCCAAAAUCUAACAAAGAAUAAAAAGAAAACAAAAAAGAGAGCUCGACUCAUCUGAAUCACUAACAGUCAAAAAGUACUUUAAUCCCAUUUAAGAAUAAAAUCUCAAUGAUAUUUGUCUGGGGUAACCGGCUAUGCACAAAUAUGACUCUCAUUCAACUUAAAUCCAAUGCAAGUAACACUCUAGUAACGCCAAUGACAUUUUCAAAGAGGAUGAUCCAUAAUAUUAGUUUGGAGAAAAGUUUGACACAAAACGUCCUCGAUUAUAAAUGUAAUUUGGAUUAUAUAAAUGAAAAAUCACUUAAGGCAAAAAAAGGGCGCAACCAUAGUGCAAAAGAAACCAUUUGCAUGGCUUUCUAUAAAACAUCAAGGAAGUUACUUAUACCACAAAAAAAAAAGAAGCACCCACAACUUUGAUGUGUAAAACAACAAAUUAUUCUGCCAAAAUUGGACAAUGUGUCUAAUGGUCCAUCAAAAAAGACUCUAGAAACCAUCAAACUUUUAAAAUUUUCAGUUACCCUUAAAAUAUUUUAUAUUUCAACACAAAUCAGGUUGGCAGGUUGGCUAAAUUUUACAAAGCAUCAAUCAAACAAAACCAAGCAAGGACAGACAGCCAAGGAAACUUUACACCAGAUCUCCAUGCAUCUCAACAAUUAUAAUUGCCCAUCUCUUCUAAUACACUACAACCAUUCUAACAAUGUAAAGUGGGAUUAAACAUGCUGCCCGAUAGCAAAGAGAGAAGCGACCACAAGUUCUGAACAUAAACUAGAAACUAUUGAAUCAGUCCAACAUGUGAAAUUAAAAAUUUACCUGAUUGUCAACAUUCAUGGGCU
rnacentral:misc_RNA from 1 species